CCCUCUCUCACACAGGCAGGGCCGCGGACGGCACAUGAGCUCAGUAGUGGUGGUGAUCGAGCGAGGCGUAGACAGGGGCUCCCACCCAGGCGCUCUUCAGGUCGCGGCGGCGAAGGAGAAUUAUGAAGACCUUGGAAGGACGAUAAAAGUGCGUGAUAAUAGGUACUGAGUGAUACGAGUGAAGGUGUUGAAGGCCAAGGAAUCCCCGGAAGGCGUGCACUGGAGGCGAGCAUGUGAAACUCAGCCACGUUUCUGCCGUCAACAAUCAGAAUGUGCGAUUGUGUGUCGCGUGAGCUGCUCAAAGGUGUUGCGUCAUUUAGAUUACCACGAACCGGUGCCCUUGGUCCUCCAGGCUGGCUGCGGAUGUCUCGUCCCCGCUGCGUUAUUGCUUCACGGUGUCCCCACCUUCUUAUUUCAAAGUCACGUAAGACUUUGCUGUGGCCUGGAUGGCGUCCUGGUUCUGCUGUGCCGCCGGAGCGUGAAGGGGAAAACGUCAUCCCGCCUGUCUGCCUGGGUCAUCGGGGCCUUCUGUUCCAAGGUUGAAGUUCCUCGAGAGCCUUAAUUCCUCGAGCCCGGCAUCCUACACAGGAACGUUGCUGCCGCUCACAAACGUUUCCCGACAACCUACAGCGACGUUUCUACGCCAUAAUGCCUCGACAGGGGGAGAAAUAUGAGGCAAUUAGAGAACAUCCGGAGAGAAACUUGAACAAUGGCACGCAUGGCACUGCGAAGAAACAGUCAACCAUCCAACCAUCAUCGUCCUUCUCCUUUUGCUUCUCCUCCACUUCGUCCUUCCCUUCCUCCUUCUCUCCUCCUCCUCCUUCUCCUCCACCUCCUCCUCCGUCUUUGCCUUCCCUGUUUUUUCCCCUCCAACCUCCUCCGCCCUGCGUCGGUCGGCCUACGAAAAAACAAGUGACGCUCGCCUCCCCCAGCCUGUAAUUCUUCCUACUCACGGCGCCUGACUUUUACUGCUUCGGGAGGGUUGGCAAUCUUUCAACGGGAGAUAUAGUGCUUGUUCCCUCCUCCCUUCCCCCUCUCUUCACUACUCUCUCUCUCUCUCUCUCUCUCUCUCUCUCUCUCUCUCUC